AGACCCGAAACCCGGUGAUCUAGCCAUGGGCAGGUUGAAGGUUGGGUAACACUAACUGGAGGACCGAACCGACUAAUGUUGAAAAAUUAGCGGAUGACCUGUGGCUGGGGGUGAAAGGCCAAUCAAACCGGGAGAUAGCUGGUUCUCCCCGAAAGCUAUUUAGGUAGCGCCUCGUGAAUUCAUCUCCGGGGGUAGAGCACUGUUUCGGCUAGGGGGCCAUCCCGGCUUACCAACCCGAUGCAAACUGCGAAUACCGGAGAAUGUUAUCACGGGAGACACACGGCGGGUGCUAACGUCCGUCGUGAAGAGGGAAACAACCCAGACCGCCAGCUAAGGUCCCAAAGUCAUGGUUAAGUGGGAAACGAUGUGGGAAGGCCCAGACAGCCAGGAUGUUGGCUUAGAAGCAGCCAUCAUUUAAAGAAAGCGUAAUAGCUCACUGGUCGAGUCGGCCUGCGCGGAAGAUGUAACGGGGCUAAACCAUGCACCGAAGCUGCGGCAGCGAACGUAUCACCCAAGACAACUUUACGGAGUUGACGAUUGACGGAGCGAAGCGACGUCAAAGCGUUCAUUAAAGUCGAGUUGGCUUAGGGAUACGUUCGUUGGGUAGGGGAGCGUUCUGUAAGCCUGUGAAGGUGUGUCGUGAGGCAUGCUGGAGGUAUCAGAAGUGCGAAUGCUGACAUAAGUAACGAUAAAGCGGGUGAAAAGCCCGCUCGCCGGAAGACCAAGGGUUCCUGUCCAACGUUAAUCGGGGCAGGGUGAGUCGACCCCUAAGGCGAGGCCGAAAGGCGUAGUCGAUGGGAAACGGGUUAAUAUUCCCGUACUUGGUGUUACUGCGAAGGGGGGACGGAGAAGGCUAUGUUGGCCGGGCGACGGUUGUCCCGGUUUAAGCGUGUAGGUGUGUGUUCCAGGUAAAUCCGGUUCACUUUAACACUGAGGCGUGACGACGAGGCACUACGGUGCUGAAGCAACAAAUGCCCUGCUUCCAGGAAAAGCCUCUAAGCAUCAGGUAACACGAAAUCGUACCCCAAACCGACACAGGUGGUCAGGUAGAGAAUACCAAGGCGCUUGAGAGAACUCGGGUGAAGGAACUAGGCAAAAUGGUGCCGUAACUUCGGGAGAAGGCACGCUGACACGUAGGUGAAGUGAUUUACUCAUGGAGCUGAAGUCAGUCGAAGAUACCAGCUGGCUGCAACUGUUUAUUAAAAACACAGCACUGUGCAAACACGAAAGUGGACGUAUACGGUGUGACGCCUGCCCGGUGCCGGAAGGUUAAUUGAUGGGGUCAGCGUAAGCGAAGCUCCUGAUCGAAGCCCCGGUAAACGGCGGCCGUAACUAUAACGGUCCUAAGGUAGCGAAAUUCCUUGUCGGGUAAGUUCCGACCUGCACGAAUGGCGUAAUGAUGGCCAGGCUGUCUCCACCCGAGACUCAGUGAAAUUGAACUCGCUGUGAAGAUGCAGUGUACCCGCGGCAAGACGGAAAGACCCCGUGAACCUUUACUAUAGCUUGACACUGAACAUUGAGCCUUGAUGUGUAGGAUAGGUGGGAGGCUUUGAAGUGUGGACGCCAGUCUGCAUGGAGCCGACCUUGAAAUACCACCCUUUAAUGUUUGAUGUUCUAACGUGGACCCGUAAUCCGGGUUGCGGACAGUGUCUGGUGGGUAGUUUGACUGGGGCGGUCUCCUCCUAAAGAGUAACGGAGGAGCACGAAGGUUGGCUAAUCCUGGUCGGACAUCAGGAGGUUAGUGCAAUGGCAUAAGCCAGCUUGACUGCGAGCGUGACGGCGCGAGCAGGUGCGAAAGCAGGUCAUAGUGAUCCGGUGGUUCUGAAUGGAAGGGCCAUCGCUCAACGGAUAAAAGGUACUCCGGGGAUAACAGGCUGAUACCGCCCAAGAGUUCAUAUCGACGGCGGUGUUUGGCACCUCGAUGUCGGCUCAUCACAUCCUGGGGCUGAAGUAGGUCCCAAGGGUAUGGCUGUUCGCCAUUUAAAGUGGUACGCGAGCUGGGUUUAGAACGUCGUGAGACAGUUCGGUCCCUAUCUGCCGUGGGCGCUGGAGAACUGAGGGGGGCUGCUCCUAGUACGAGAGGACCGGAGUGGACGCAUCACUGGUGUUCGGGUUGUCAUGCCAAUGGCACUGCCCGGUAGCUAAAUGCGGAAGAGAUAAGUGCUGAAAGCAUCUAAGCACGAAACUUGCCCCGAGAUGAGUUCUCCCUGAGACUUAGAG
rnacentral:rRNA from 1 species